GGGUAAGUCCUGUGCAACCAGCUCCCGUGAACUCCCCCAGGUCUGGAAGGAAGCAAGGGUAAUCGGUCGUAGCGGUGUGAUGCAGGUAACUUACCCUUU
rnacentral:SRP_RNA from 1 species